GAUCAUGGCUCAGGACGAACGCUGGCGGCGCGCCUAACACAUGCAAGUCGAACGGUGAAGAGGAGCUUGCUCCUCGGAACAGUGGCGGACGGGUGAGUAACACGUGAGCAACUUGGCUCUAAGAGGUGGACAACAGUUGGAAACGACUGCUAAUACCGCAUAACGUAUCGGGAUGGCAUCUUCCUGAUACCAAAGAUUUUAUCGCUUAGAGAUGGGCUCGCGUCUGAUUAG
rnacentral:rRNA from 1 species